CCUUGGAGCUCUCCGAGAUGAAUGGGAAGAUUCCAUGUGCUAAUCUCAUUUCCAAAUGUAAUUGGCACCUGAAUUACGAAGCUCUGCUUCCAAAGGCUGCACUCACAGAGCCAUCCAUCCUCCCUCCAUCGAGGUGGGCCAGCGUGGCCCUGUGAUGCAUGUUCACUGCUCCAGCCACGGAGAAGUAGUGGAGCUGCUACAACCUUUUGGAGGGCAACUUGGCACCAAAAGCAUCUGAACGGACAAACUUUCCUUGUAGUGUGAUGGAGUAAGCAGAAGGCUUGAAUCUAUGCUACUCCCUGUGUGGCCAUGGCUCUCAUUGGAUCAACCCAACCAGAAGUCAGAGGGCAAAGGAGUCCAGGUGAUACAGUUUGUAGAGUUCAGCUUCCAGAGGAACAAAGUAGAGCAUCAAGAAGCAGAAAUGAAUGAAGGAGAAGAAAUAGCACGCUGAAUAUGGGCCUGUAGAAGACUGCAAUUCCAAAAAUGACCACAGCAAUAUUUCUGGUCUCCCAUGGUCUUCUUGAUAUUGCCACGCCCCAUCACAAGGUGAGUCUAUUUUUCCUCCCCUUGAACCUGGGGAGGGCUUUGUGAUUGCUUGGACAGGGAGAAUGUGGCAAAGUGAUGCUGCAUGACUUCAAAACUAGGUCAUCAAAGGCAAUAUGGCUCUGCCCAGAAAUCUCUCUUUCUUGGGAUGCUCACGUUAUGAGGAAACCCAGGUCACAUGAAGAGGCCGCGUGCAAGUGCUCCGGCUGAUUGCCCAGCUGAGGUCCCAGCUGACAGUGUUAACUGCCAGGUAAGCGAAAAAAUGAGCUUCCAGAUGAUUCCGGCUUCCAGCAUCCGAGUGACCUCCACUGGAGCAGACAAUUACUAGUAUCCUCACAAAGCCCUGCCUGAAUCGAAGAUUCAUGAGCAAAAUAACUGUUUUUAUUUUAUUUUAUUAAAGCCACUGGGAUUUUGAAAAACUUGUUAUAUAGCCAUAAUAAGCAGAACAGAGGCAGUAUUAGGGAGUUA